rnacentral:rRNA from 1 species
UGAGGAAUAUUGGGCAAUGCCCGCAAGGGUGACCCAGCAACGCCGCGUGGAGGCUGAAUGUCGUAAGAUUGUAAACUCCUGUUAGAGGGGAAGAAUAGUACCGGUUGGACCGGUAUAUGACUGUACCCUCAGAGAAAGCCCCGGCUAACUACGUGCCAGCAGCCGCGGUAAUACGUAGGGGGCAAGCGUUGUCCGGAUUUACUGGGUGUAAAGGGCGCGCAGGCGGGAUAAAAAGUCAGUGGUGAAAUCCUACAGCUUAACUGUAGAACUGCCUUUGAUACUUUUAUUCUUGAGUUCGGGAGAGAGAGACGGAAUUCCAGGUGUAGUGGUGAAAUACGUAGAUAUCUGGAAGAACACCAGUUGCGAAGGCGGUCUCUUGGUCCGACACUGACGCUGAGGCGCGAAAGCGUGGGGAGCAAACA